rnacentral:rRNA from 1 species
AGAACGACUCUCGGCAACGGAUAUCUCGGCUCUCGCGUCGAUGAAGAACGUAGCAAAAUGCGAUACUUGGUGUGAAUUGCAGAAUCCCGCGAACCAUCGAGUUUUUGAACGCAAGUUGCGCCCGAGGCCAAUAGGUUGAGGGCACGUCUGCCUGGGCGUCUCGC